CGUGAACACAUCUAGGUGGAAUGCAUCUGAGACUAAGGGCUGGUUUUUAAUCCUCAUAAGAAACCAGCCUUGAAGAAUUAACAAUUCUCUUCAUUGGUAUUCUAAACCUCCUAAGAUAUUUAGGCUUCUGUACAUAAAAGUGUUUUUGCUAAAUUUACAGUAUAUAUAGAUCCUUUCAUAUUAUUUUACUAAGAAUGUUUGAACUUUGCAUAUUUGACAUAGUUCCUGGUAGGAAUAGCACAGCUCAAACAUUAGUUUUUCUACUUACCUCCUCUAACACGUGGUUUGUCUGGAGAGUUUCUAAAAAUUCAGCUAUAACCCCAGUUCAUGUAUUUACUGGUGAUUGUUCUUGCUGAGGUAGUAACAGCCCAAUCUUGGGCUGUUAAAUCCUAGGAAAUCUCGAAUCAUAGUGAUUAAAAUAGUUGGGGUAAAGUUGUAGCUUAUAUGCAAUACUACUUGGAGGAAUUCUUUUACUAAUUUGUAUUUAAUGUGGAAAUUGUAUAGUUUCAUUGAUUUAAUCAUAAAUAAUGGAAAUGGUCUUCAAGAAGUUUUAUUUCAUUUUUUUGCUUAUACACUCUGAUUCCUAUAAUACAGUGCUAUAAGCUAUGCACAGAAAAUAAAAUGUUUGAAAUCCAAGAAUAAUGGUUCUUACUGCUAAGAGGGAGUAAUAGUUAUUACUAAUGAUUUUGAUUGGGUUGCAUUUUUGUUGCAAUGUUUAUUCCACUUGCAGUUAGAAUAUGAAUAUGUUUUAUCACUAAUGUGGCUAAAUAACCAAACAUUUGUGUAAAAAAAAAAAAAAAAGCCAAGAUUUCAUUGUUUGUUGAAUAUUUCUUAAGCAUCUAGCCCCUAAAGAGACUGCUUCUUACCAAGCCUGUAAACUAUGCAUGAUGGAAAUUCUUGUAUUUUAUUUAGGAAUGGCUGUUGGUUUACUUACCACAUCUGUGGAAUCAUG
rnacentral:lncRNA from 1 species